AUUGAACGCUGGCGGUAUGCCUUACACAUGCAAGUCGAACGGUAGAGGGGCAACCCUUGAGAGUGGCGAACGGGUGAGUAAUACAUCGGAACGUGCCCAGUCGUGGGGGAUAACGUAGCGAAAGCUACGCUAAUACCGCAUACGACCUGAGGGUGAAAGCGGGGGAUCGCAAGACCUCGCGCGAUUGGAGCGGCCGAUGGCAGAUUAGGUAGUUGGUGGGGUAAAGGCCUACCAAGCCUGCGAUCUGUAGCUGGUCUGCGAGGACGACCAGCCACACUGGGACUGAGACACGGCCCAGACUCAAACGGGGGGACGCAGUGGGGAUUUUUGGACGAUGGGCGAAAGCCUGAUCCAGCCAUACCGCGUGCGGGAAGAAGGCCUUCGGGUUGUAAACCGCUGUUGUCAGUGAAGAAAUCUUCUGGGUUCAUCCCUCUGGAGGAUGACGGUACCUGAAGAAUAAGCACCGUCUAACUACGUGCCCGCCGCCGCCGUAA
rnacentral:rRNA from 1 species